UAUACUUAUCAAAUAGGAAAUGUAUAAUAUUAUUGUAUUUUGUAUUAAAAACUUUUCUAAGAAGCUUUGACCAAAAAAAUAAAAAGUUAAAAAAAAAACUUUUGGAGGGAAAAUUUUUAAUUAUGAGAUGACAUGUGUUAUUCCUAAUUUCGCCUUUAGUAUAAAGUUAUAGAUUAUAUCUAUUUCCAACAUAAUCCUAUAAACAUGUCAAACAUUGGAUUGAGAAUUAUUUUAGUAUAUUCCCAAUGAAAUUACCAUAAACUAAUUUCCAAUACACAAAUGUUCAAAAAAAUCGGAUGUACGAUAAUGCUAUUGUAAAUCAAUAGCACGUGAGCCCUCUUCAUUACUUUCUUUUUCAGUUUCUCUCUCUCCUCACUUAUUUUUCACCCACUAUGGAAGCCACCACCGCUGCCACCACUGCCGCAAGCUUGAGCCUCUCUCUCUCUCCUCACUUAUUUUUCACCCACUACGGGAAGCCACCAUCGUUGCCACCACUGCCGCGAGCUUGAGCCUCGUCAACAAUCAUCUGACGGUUGUUGAGUGUUUGACCGUUUAUUCCCUCGAUCGCGGCAUCAAGCUCUUCUUUGCUUUCGAGGGUAAUGAUGGUAACGAUGCCAAAUCUUCAGUCGAUGGUUAAAUUUGGUAAGGCGGCGUUCUUUCCAGGUCGUUUGGUUCAUACUAAUGAAUUCCUGGUUCUCCUAGGAGAGGGUUAUUUUUCUGAUAGAACAACCAAACAAACUGUUGACAUUCUUAAAAGAAGAGGGCAGACGUUGGAGUCGCAAGUUGGUUCUGUUAAGGCUGUGAUUGAAGAUCUUAAAGCCGAGGCCUCAUUUUUAGACAGAUCUGCUGCAGAAGCUGUGGAGGGGCUUGUGGAGAUCAGGGAAGAGUGUAGCGAUGAUGAAGAUUCUGGAGGAAGUUGGAUGAACUACUUGAGAAAGAAGAACUUGAAGAAGAAGAUAUUGAAGAGGAUGAAGAUGAUGCUAACUUGGUAAAUCAUAAAAUGAAUUAUCCUCAUUUUAAUUGUUGACCAAUCUGAACCAAGGAUAUUUAGAGGAUCAUCAUCAUGCCAAAGAGCUCUCUGAUAGUAUAUCUGAAACAAGUUAUGCUGAUAAAUUAAUUCGUGGAAAUUUAAGUUUGCAAGAAUUGCAACCUGGGCAUAAAGAUGAAUCCUCUCGUGGCAAAGAUGUACUGCAAAACUAUGUUGGAAGAUCAAUGGAGGAAGAUUAUGUCCCUUCUGUCAUGAAGUCAAGUGUUCCAUCUGAGGUACACCUGUGCCUUCUCUUUUUAGUUGAUACAUGCGGAGUAUCUUUUUGCUAUUUGGCUUAUUUCCUGGAUUUUUUAGGGAUAUUUCGUAAGAUAUUCCUUUAACUUUUGCAAAAUUCAUGUCAUACCUUUCCAACCUAAUUGUGUCCACAGUAUACCCCUUACUUUUUAUGUUACAAACGAUAUAUGUGUAACCAUAAUGUGUUGUUAGUUUGGAACCAUAAUAUGUCGAAUAUGUGAUGUGGUUGGAGAACUUUUUGUUGUUUGACCUAUUUAACUUUUUAUCAUAAGUAUUUUGUUAAGUUUUAUUAAUACAAUGCAUGUGGAAAAGUAACAUAUCAACAUUAUUUCACGCGCAUUGAUGGAGAUGAAUAACAAAACCUUUAAAUUAAAUUGUCACAUAACUAACAAAGAACUCUUCUACCACUUCAACAUUAUUCGAAAGAAACUAGAAGACCAUUGCAUUUUUGCAUACAUUAUGCCUAAUUUGAAAGUUCAAGGAUAUACUGUGCGCAUAGUUAGAUGUGAAAUGAGGCAUCACGUGAAGUUUGCAAAGUACUGAGUUCCCUUUAAUUCUUCCUUUUUCUCCUGAUUUACAGGUUAAAUGCAUAUAAUUAAAUCCUUGUCUCUUCAAAGAUAUCUGAUAAAAAAGUUAAAAAAAUUUAUACUAUAAAGAAGUAGUUCUUGAAAUCUGAAUACUCUCUAAUUCUCUGAUAAGGAAUUUAGUUUUAUCAGAAGAUGAAGUUGAAGCAAGGGCUUCCAAUGGGGACUGUCACCUGCAUCCAUAUAGUUUAAUAGCUAGGCUAUCGCCUGACCAAAAAGACUGUCAUUGGAGAAAGGAAAUUAAAUCUCUAGGUUUUUUUUUUUUUUUUUUUUUUUUUUUUUUUUUUUUUUUUUUUUUUUUUUUUUUUUUUGCUGGGUGUUGGUUGAAGUUUAUCUAUUGCAUUUACCCAUGUUCAAUUAAUUGAAAAUAAAAUUCAAAACUUUCCUUUUUCCUUGAUUCCCUCCUCUAAGCACAUCCUCUUGGCUCUUCUUAAGGUUUGGAAGUCCUUACAUAAUCACCUUUUGACACUAAAGCUGUGUUGAUCAUGAUGUCUGUAGUGAUAAGGGCUUUAAAAUAAAACCUCAGGGAUUGAAUCUAAUAAUAUAAUUGGAACAAGAAAAUCUUCCAGUCUGUCUUUCUCCUGCCUCUUUUUUCCUGCUUUUGUUGAUACUUGAUAGCUGGUGCCUUCGUUUCAAUCUGUUAUUGGAUUGGGCCUACCCAUACUCAGUGGUCAUGUUGAGUGGGUAAAUAGCGACGAUGCUGUGAUGGGUUAGCUAGUCUUUGGAAAGUGAGGGAGAAAAUUGGUGGGGGUUGUGGGCAGAGAAAGAUGAAGUAAUGGUGGUGCUGGUGGCAUGGUGGACAUGACAUGAUUAUGUAAGGAGGUCAAAAAGGGAAGGAGGUGUCAUAAAUAUCAUAGAGCGGGAUAUAGGUUAGGUUUUUUUGGCCCAAAUGCCUUGGGGGUUUUUCAGUCCUUAUCAUAGCAAACAACAACUGAAAUGAUCAAAGGUAGGGUAUUUGCAUAUGGAAUACUAGGUUUGACUGUAUAGUGUAUACCCUGCAUUUUGUUUGCCUGUUAUUCCCAUCUCUUGUACCAUUUACAUUGUACUUAACUUGAACCAAACAACCCCUGAAUGAAAGAUUUAGUUCUCUCCUUUAUGGGAGGACAUGCCAGGUAAUUAGAUGAAAGCAGAGAAGAUGCUACGUAGUGGAAGCUGACCAUACUUAUCUGUUCCUCCAGGGGAAAAUUUAUUGGCCCAAGUGAAUGCUCUAGUACAUAAUUCCAUAAGUACUACUCGUAUGUAAUAGAAUUAGUUGCUCAUGUUGAGCUUGCUGAUCCAUGCAGAUGUGAAAGACUUAAAGGUGAUAAUUUUUCCCAUAAUUGAAUGGUUAGUGUUAGACAUUUUGGACAAAUUUGUCUUGUCCUGUGCCUGGCUGCAUGAUGAUUGGCAUGAUUUUUCUUGCUCCAUAUUUUAAGUUAAAGUUUUAUGGAGUAUAUCUUAAGUGGAUCUGAUGAUUAAGAUGUAAUUGAUUGGAAUUAGUCUGUGUCCGGACUAUGCUUGCAUUGAGACUAUACCCGAGAAAAAAUAAUGGAACGUGCUAUUGUUUGUACCCUUAUUUCUUGUACAGUAUUUUUGUUUCACAGAAUAUGCAUAGUGGUAAAUUUUUAUUUUGAUAAUUGACGAUCCUCUCCUUAAAUUCUUUUUUUCCCUCUAGGUUAGUGUUCCUGCGCCUAAACCAGAUGUUGGCAAUCGAUUGUCUAGACCUACUACAGAUAGUCUCAAGGCAUGUCUUCUAACUAUUGCUUCCCCUCCCGCUAUCAACAUUCACACUUCCCUCCCCCCCUGUAAAAAGGGUGUUCCCAUCGUACCCUUCUCCUUAGAUUCACAUGGCCUUUUAAAAUCCUAGGACUUUACACUUGUUAGGGUGUAUUAGGAUUUGAAUUCUUGA